ACGCGAAAGUGGAGCAAUCCAUGAGUAGAGUGGCAAACGGGUGAGUAACGCGUGGGUGACCUGCCUUCGAGUGGGGGAUAACAUUCCGAAAGGGAUGCUAAUACCGCAUGACAUCCUGCUUUUUAACUGGCGGAGAUCAAAGCCGGGGAUCGCAAGACCUGGCGCUUGAAGAGGGGCCCGCGUCCGAUUAGCUAGUUGGUGGGGUAAUGGCUCACCAAGGCAACGAUCGGUAGCCGGCCUGAGAGGGCGGACGGCCACACUGGGACUGAGACACGGCCCAGACUCCUACGGGAGGCAGCAGUAGGGAAUUGUUCGCAAUGGGCGCAAGCCUGACGACGCAACGCCGCGUGGAGGAUGAAGAUCUUCGGGUCGUAAACUCCUUUCGAUCGAGACGAAUGGCCUCCGGGUGAAUACUCCGGAGGAAUGACGGUACCGAGAGAAGAAGCCCCGGCCAACUCCGUGCCAGCAGCCGCGGUAAUACGGGGGGGGCAAGCGUUGUUCGGAAUUACUGGGCGUAAAGGGCUUGUAGGCGGCCAACUAAGUCAUACGUGAAAUCCCUCGGCUUAACCGGGGAACUGCGUCUGAUACUGGAUGGCUUGAGAUUGGGAGAGGGAUGCGGAAUUCCAGGUGUAGCGGUGAAAUGCGUAGAUAUCUGGAGGAACACCGGUGGCGAAGGCGGCAUCCUGGACAAACACUGACGCUGAGGAGCGAAAGCCAGGGG
rnacentral:rRNA from 1 species